UAAUGUUACUGAAUGCUGUCACUGUCAUGAGUUUUGCCUCCUCCACAAGCAUUUUACAGUCUCCAGGAAGGCUACAGACACGCUGGGAAGAUGACCUCACAGUUCAGCAGAUUCACGUCAGCAGGUGCCACAAGACUUCAGUGUAUAAAGGAGAAAAACAAAUGUGGUGUUCAACAGAAGAGCCAAUGGCUAUUGAAUUCUCAUUAUUUCCACUAGGGAUCUGCUAUCACAUGGCAGCUAGAGCAUUUAGCAUCCAUGUGUCUGGGAGGUGAGCAGCAACCCAAGAGACAAGAUAAUGGAACUGGAAGAGCUGCCUCCUCUGCCCAUUAGUGAAAUGUUCCCAAGGAGAGUGUGAGAUGCUCCCCAGAAGCAAUCAUUUCUUUCUGAAAACCUCAACUGUUACAUGAAAAAAAAUCAUAAUAAUGGUGGCAAAGGGCUGAACUGAAUGAGAUUGCACAGCAGUGCUUUUAUGUGGUAGGAGGAGGAAGGAAAGAGUGUCUGUUGCAUGGUGUAAAAGCCAUGGGAAGAUAUGUGCCCCCUUAAGAAGAAGAAAGAAACAUUUUACCAAAAUGUUUAGGAAGGCCUUCCUUUAUUGGUCUGCUGGUUGCCAAGGAGAAAGAAUCAAUCAUUCAAAAAGAAGGAAAGAAAAAAAGAUGAGAAAAGGAGCUGUCAGGAAAGAAGACAUCUGGAGUUGACUUGUAUACAGUUUCUUCUUCUUAGCCCAGUGACACUGAAUCAUUUGCUUCACUGUUUUAAACCGAAUAAAGCUCUGGAACUCUCUGAUUUUCUGAUUUCUGUUUAAAUAAAAACAUACUUUUUUUU